rnacentral:rRNA from 1 species
GAUGAACGCUGGCGGCGUGCUUAACACAUGCAAGUCGAACAGAAAGGCUCCUGCUUGCAGGGGUACUCGAGUGGCGAACGGGUGAGUAACACGUGGGUGAUCUGCCCUGCACUUCGGGAUAAGCCUGGGAAACUGGGUCUAAUACCGGAUAGGACGAUGGUUUGGAUGCCAUUGUGGAAAGUUUUUCGGUGUGGGAUGAGCUCGCGGCCUAUCAGCUUGUUGGUGGGGUAAUGGCCUACCAAGGCGUCGACGGGUAGCCGGCCUGAGAGGGUGUACGGCCACAUUGGGACUGAGAUACGGCCCAGACUCCUACGGGAGGCAGCAGUGGGGAAUAUUGCACAAUGGGCGCAAGCCUGAUGCAGCGACGCCGCGUGGGGAAUGACGGCCUUCGGGUUGUAAACUCCUUUCGCUAGGGACGAAGCGCAAGUGACGGUACCUGGAGAAGAAGCACCGGCUAACUACGUG